rnacentral:rRNA from 1 species
AUGCAGUCGNCGGUANCAGAAAGCAGCUUGCUGCUUUGCUGACGAGUGGCGGACGGGUGAGUAAUGUCUGGGAAACUGCCUGAUGGAGGGGGAUAACUACUGGAAACGGUAGCUAAUACCGCAUAACGUCGCAAGACCAAAGAGGGGGACCUUCGGGCCUCUUGCCAUCGGAUGUGCCCAGAUGGGAUUAGCUAGUAGGUGGGGUAANGGCUCACCUAGGCGACGAUCCCUAGCUGGUCUGAGAGGAUGACCAGCCACACUGGAACUGAGACACGGUCCAGACUCCUACGGGAGGCAGCAGUGGGGAAUAUUGCACAAUGGGCGCAAGCCUGAUGCAGCCAUGCCGCGUGUAUGAAGAAGGCCUUCGGGUUGUAAAGUACUUUCAGCGGGGAGGAAGGGAGUAAAGUUAAUACCUUUGCUCAUUGACGUUACCCGCAGAAGAAGCACCGGCUAACUCCGUGCCAGCAGCCGCGGUAAUACGGAGGGUGCAAGCGUUAAUCGGAAUUACUGGGCGUAAAGCGCACGCAGGCGGUUUGUUAAGUCAGAUGUGAAAUCCCCGGGCUCAACCUGGGAACUGCAUCUGAUACUGGCAAGCUUGAGUCUCGUAGAGGGGGGUAGAAUUCCAGGUGUAGCGGUGAAAUGCGUAGAGAUCUGGAGGAAUACCGGUGGCGAANGCGGCCCCCUGGACGAAGACUGACGCUCAGGUGCGAAAGCGUGNGGAGCAAACAGGAUUAGAUACCCUGGUAGUCCACGCCGUAAACGAUGUCGACUUGGAGGUUGUGCCCUUGAGGCGUGGCUUCCGGAGCUAACGCGUUAAGUCGACCGCCUGGGGNGUACGGCCGC